CCUACGGGAGACAGCAGUGAGGAAUAUUGGUCAAUGGGCGCGAGCCUGAACCAGCCAAGUAGCGUGAAUGAUGACUGCCCUACGGGUUGUAAACUUCUUUUAUAUGGGAAUAAAAUGUUCCACGUGUGAGAUUUUGUAUGUACCAUCUGAGUAAGGAUCGGCUAACUCCGUGCCAGCAGCCGCGGUAAUACUGCGUAUCCGAGCGUUAUCCGGAUUUAUUGGGUUUAAAGGGAGCGUAGGUGGAUUGUUAAGUCAGUUGUGAAAGUUUGCGGCUCAACCGUAAAAUUGCAGUUGAAACUGGCAGUCUUGAGUACAGUAGAGGCGGGCGGAAUUCGUGGUGUAGCGGUGAAAUGCGUAGAUAUCACGAAGAACUCCGAUGGCGAAGGCAGCUCACUGGACUGCAACUGACACUGAGGCUCGAAAGUGUGGGUAUCAAACAGGAUUAGAUACCCCUGUAGUC
rnacentral:rRNA from 1 species